rnacentral:rRNA from 1 species
CCCGCACAAGCGGUGGAGCAUGUGGUUAAUUCGAAGCAACGCGAAGAACCUUACCAGGUCUUGACAUCCCGAUGCUAUUUCUAGAGAUAGAAAGUUACUUCGGUACAUCGGUGACAGGUGGUGCAUGGUUGUCGUCAGCUCGUGUCGUGAGAUGUUGGGUUAAGUCCCGCAACGAGCGCAACCCCUGUUGUUAGUUGCCAUCAUUCAGUUGGGCACUCUAGCGAGACUGCCGGUAAUAAACCGGAGGAAGGUGGGGAUGACGUCAAAUCAUCAUGCCCCUUAUGACCUGGGCUACACACGUGCUACAAUGGUUGGUACAACGAGUUGCGAGUCGGUGACGGCGAGCUAAUCUCUUAAAGCCAAUCUCAGUUCGGAUUGUAGGCUGCAACUCGCCUACAUGAAGUCGGAAUCGCUAGUAAUCGCGGAUCAGCACGCCGCGGUGAAUACGUUCCCGGGCCUU